GAUGAAGAACGUAGCGAAAUGCGAUAAGUAAUGUGAAUUGCAGAAUUCAGUGAAUCAUCGAAUCUUUGAACGCACAUUGCGCCCGCCAGUAUUCUGGCGGGCAUGCCUGUUCGAGCGUCAUUUCAACCAUCAAGCCCCCGGCUUGUGUUGGGGACCUGCGGCUCCCGCAGGCCCUGAAAAGCAGUGGCGGGCUCGCUGUCACACCGAGCGUAGUAGCAUACAUCUCGCUCUGGGCGUGCUGCGGGUUCCGGCCGUUAAACCACCUUCAUAACCCAAGGUUGACCUCGGAUCAGGUAGGAAGACCCGCUGAACUUAAGCAUAUCAAUAAGCGGAGGA
rnacentral:misc_RNA from 1 species